rnacentral:rRNA from 1 species
GACGAACGCUGGCGGCGUGCCUAAUACAUGCAAGUAGAACGCUGAAGAGGGGAGCUUGCUCUUCUUGGAUGAGUUGCGAACGGGUGAGUAACGCGUAGGUAACCUGCCUUGUAGCGGGGGAUAACUAUUGGAAACGAUAGCUAAUACCGCAUAACAAUGGAUGACACAUGUCAUUUAUUUGAAAGGGGCAAUUGCUCCACUACAAGAUGGACCUGCGUUGUAUUAGCUAGUAGGUGAGGUAACGGCUCACCUAGGCGACGAUACAUAGCCGACCUGAGAGGGUGAUCGGCCACACUGGGACUGAGACACGGCCCAGACUCCUACGGGAGGCAGCAGUAGGGAAUCUUCGGCAAUGGGGGCAACCCUGACCGAGCAACGCCGCGUGAGUGAAGAAGGUUGUCGGAUCGUAAAGCUCUGUUGUAAGUCAAGAACGAGUGUGAGAGUGGAAAGUUCACACUGUGACGGUAGCUUACCAGAAAGGGACGGCUAACUACGUG